GAUGAACGCUGGCGGCGUGCCUAAUACAUGCAAGUCGAGCGAACAGAUGAGGAGCUUGCUCCUCUGACGUUAGCGGCGGACGGGUGAGUAACACGUGGAUAACCUACCUAUAAGACUGGGAUAACUUCGGGAAACCGGAGCUAAUACCGGAUAAUAUAUUGAACCGCAUGGUUCAAUAGUGAAAGACGGUUUUGCUGUCACUUAUAGAUGGAUCCGCGCCGCAUUAGCUAGUUGGUAAGGUAACGGCUUACCAAGGCGACGAUGCGUAGCCGACCUGAGAGGGUGAUCGGCCACACUGGAACUGAGACACGGUCCAGACUCCUACGGGAGGCAGCAGUAGGGAAUCGUCCGCAAUGGGCGAAAGCCUGACGGAGCAACGCCGCGUGAGUGAUGAAGGUCUUCGGAUCGUAAAACUCUGUUAUUAGGGAAGAACAAAUGUGUAAGUAACUAUGCACGUCUUGACGGUACCUAAUCAGAAAGCCACGGCUAACUACGUG
rnacentral:rRNA from 1 species